GACCUCAAAAUUGGCUUAAGAGGGGGUGGGGGGAGGUACUCCAAAGCCCCCCCCCCCCAACCCCACUUUGCCUCCUGAGACAAAGGCUCAGAGGUGGAACCUGUCUUCAUGCCAGCUAUUCUUACAGAGUUCCAGAAACUGCCGGCGAGCAAGGUCUCGCUGCCCAGGGUCACACACAGCGAGCCUGUCCAGCGACAGGAGGGCCUGGGAUCCCGGCCUGGCUGCCAGAGGGAAAGGGGGAGUGGGGUUGCAGGAAUGUCAAGGGCACAUUGUAAGAGAGCAUGUGGGAUUGGGGUACUGUGGAGGCCACAGUUAUGGCCCUCGGAGAGCAUCGGGGUGGAAGGAACAGCCAUGAACAAAGGUGCGGAGGCAGGAGGAUCCAGCUCUUGGAACUACCCCGCUGGAGGCCGG